rnacentral:rRNA from 1 species
AAGACCUUGCGCUUUUGGAGCGGCCGAUGCCUGAUUAGCUUGUUGGUGAGGUAAAAGCUCACCAAGGCUUCGAUCAGUAGCUGGUCUGAGAGGACGACCAGCCACACUGGGACUGAGACACGGCCCAGACUCCUACGGGAGGCAGCAGUGGGGAAUUUUGGACAAUGGGGGAAACCCUGAUCCAGCCAUGCCGCGUGAGUGAAGAAGGCCUUCGGGUUGUAAAGCUCUUUCAGCCGGAACGAAACGGUUACGGUUAAUACCCGUAACUACUGACGGUACCGGAAGAAGAAGCACCGGCUAACUACGUGCCAGCAGCCGCGGUAAUACGUAGGGUGCGAGCGUUAAUCGGAAUUACUGGGCGUAAAGCGUGCGCAGGUGGUUUUGCAAGUCAGAUGUGAUAUCCCCGGGCUCAACCUGGGAACU